UCCAAACAAAGGCACUCAAACCACUCUGCUCAGAGUCUCUCUGAGUCUCAGAGCCCUCUGCCCACAUGUCUUAUUCCAGCCCUUCAGUCUUUACUCAGACAAAAGUUUUACUUGACCUUGAGGGCAGUUUUGCAGAACAGGAGGCUGCAGAGAGAAUGACAGGUUUGACAUCAUGAUGGACACAUAGGCUCUGGAUAGACAAAAGGCAGGAAAAUGACAACAGGACCAAUUUCUCUGCUCACUAACUUCACAGGAAGUCAAUUUGGGAAACAUUUAUCAGCCUGAAGAUGAGCUGGGGAAGAUCUCACUGGGGAGAGAUGAUGAUGACUUGGCCUCCUGGCAGUCCCUACCAGAACCAUCGUCUGCGCUGUGUAACCAACCAUAUUUUCACUGAACAUCAGAAGUUUCACUCGUAUUUUACUGAACAAAAACUCUGCCUGCAUUA